rnacentral:lncRNA from 13 species
CCCGUAUUUUGUUACUCACCAAUAAUUUGUUUUCAGGCAAUCCACUUACUUAGUCUCUCUGAGCCCAAAUCCUUCACACUUGGACUCUGUAUGAUGAUAUCUACUGUAUGAAUUGAUUGUGAAGUCCAAAAAGAAAACACAUGAAGUUUCAGAGCUGCAUCUUUGGCAGAAACAUCACAGAAAUGAUGCUGUAUUCUUCUCUUUGCAUCCUAUCCAAUGGCAUACUCUAAUUCUCUCAUUAUUGAUGUUUAUCACCUGUUUAAAAGGAUAUCUCCUAAUCUUCUCUAUUAUAAGACACCAUCAUGUACUGGAUCAAGCUCUGAUACUUUGUUUUAAGGCUCUAACCGGUGUGGAAGUUCUCAUCCUGCUUGUUUACUGUAAUCUCAUGGCAAUGUGUACCUUCAUGUGGCGUGAAGCUUUGAAAUUGUUACAGGUACCACAAAGUUCAGCAACUACUACCCCGAUCAAUCAGG